rnacentral:rRNA from 1 species
GCGAACGCUGGCGGCGUGGAUAAGGCAUGCAAGUCGAGCGAUCCCCGCAAGGGGAUAGCGGCAAACGGGUGCGUAACGCGUGGGAAACCUACCCAAGAGCCUGGGAUAACACCGUGAAAACGGUGCUAAUACCAGAUACGCCCUCCUGGUCGCAUGAUUGGGAGGGGAAAGGUGGCCUCGACCGCAAGGUUGCUAUUGCUCAUGGAGGGUCCCGCGUCCCAUCAGCUAGUUGGUAGGGUCACGGCCUACCAAGGCAUUGACGGGUAGCUGGCCUGAGAGGGUGGUCAGCCACACUGGGACUGAGACACUGCCCAGACUCCUACGGGAGGCUGCAGUCGAGAAUCUUUGGCAAUGGGCGAAAGCCUGACCAUGCGACGCCGCGUGCGGGAUGAAGGCCUUCGGGUCGUAAACCGCUGUCAUGAGGGACGAAAAGCCUUCGGGUGAACAACCGGAAGGCCCUGA